UAGUGCCUGCGUUGUGCGUGAUUGGUAUUGAGAUUUUUGUACCAACACUAAACGAAAGGGGAUCUCAAAUUUGAGCUUGCAGGCCACGCUCCUUCGCGGAGUAGGCCGAAGUGCUCGUGAGGGAACCCACCUGUAAUUACAGGUGCAAAAGAAGAUACCCACACGGCAAAGGCGGGUUGUUU
rnacentral:other from 1 species